rnacentral:rRNA from 1 species
AGAGUUUGAUCAUGGCUCAGGACGAACGCUGGCGGCGUGCUUAACACAUGCAAGUCAAGGGGGCCCGCAAGGGCAACCGGCGAACGGGUGCGUAACACGUGAGCGACCUACCUUUCGGCGGGGGAUAGCCGGCCCAACGGCCGGGUAAUACCGCAUACGCUCUUCUGGGGGCAUCCCUGGGGGAGGAAACUUUCGAGACCGAGAGAGGGGCUCGCGGCCUAUCAGCUAGUUGGCGGGGUAACGGCCCACCAAGGCGGUGACGGGUAGCUGGUCUGAGAGGAUGGCCAGCCACAUUGGGACUGAGAGACGGCCCAGACUCCUACGGGAGGCAGCAGUGGGGAAUCUUGCGCAAUGGCCGAAAGGCUGACGCAGCGACGCCGCGUGGGGGAGGAAGGGCUUCGGCUCGUAAACCCCUGUUGCCCGGGGCGAACAUCCCUUUUCGAGGGGACUGACGGUACCGGGUGAGGAAGCACCGGCUAACUCCGUGCCAGCAGCCGCGGUAAUACGGAGGGUGCGAGCGUUGUCCGGAAUCACUGGGCGUAAAGGGCGCGUAGGUGGCCGAGCAAGGUCGCGGUGAAAGCCCGGGGCUCAACCCCGGGUCGGCCGUGGCAACUACUUGGCUGGAGCACUGUAGGGGCGGGUGGAAUUCCGGGUGUAGCGGUGGAAUGCGCAGAUAUCAGGAGGAACACCGAUGGCGAAGGCAGAUCUCUGGGCCGUAACUCACGCUGAGGAGCGAAAGGGUGGGGAGCAAACAGGCUUAGAUACCCUGGUAGUCCACCCCGUAAACGUUGGGAACUAGUUGUGGGGUCCAUUCCACGGAUUCCGUGACGCAGCUAACGCAUUAAGUUCCCCGCCUGGGGAGUACGGCCGCAAGGCUAAAACUCAAAGGAAUUGAC